GCCAGACUCCUACGGGAGGCAGCAGUGAGGAAUAUUGGUCAAUGGGCGCGAGCCUGAACCAGCCAAGUCGCGUGAGGGAUGACGGCCCUACGGGUUGUAAACCUCUUUUGCCGGGGAGCAACGGGCGCCACGUGUGGCGCCACUGAGAGUACCCGGAGAAAAAGCAUCGGCUAACUCCGUGCCAGCAGCCGCGGUAAUACGGAGGAUGCGAGCGUUAUCCGGAUUUAUUGGGUUUAAGGGGUGCGUAGGCGGAUCGUUAAGUCAGUGGUCAAAUUGAGGGGCUCAACCCCGUACUGCCGUUGAAACUGCAUCCCUUGAGUGCGCGAGAAGUAUGCGGAAUGCGUGGUGUAGCGGUGAAAUGCAUAGAUAUCACGCAGAACUCCGAUUGCGAAGGCAGCAUACCGGCGCCCAACUGACGCUGAAGCACGAAAGCGUGGGUAUCGAACAGGAUUAGAUACCCGAGUA
rnacentral:rRNA from 1 species